rnacentral:rRNA from 1 species
AUGAACGCUAGCUACAGGCUUAACACAUGCAAGUCGAGGGGCAGCAUUUUAGUUUGCUUGCAAACUAAAGAUGGCGACCGGCGCACGGGUGAGUAACACGUAUCCAACCUGCCGAUAACUCGGGGAUAGCCUUUCGAAAGAAAGAUUAAUAUCCGAUAGUAUAUUAAAACCGCAUGGUUUUACUAUUAAAGAAUUUCGGUUAUCGAUGGGGAUGCGUUCCAUUAGUUUGUUGGCGGGGUAACGGCCCACCAAGACUACGAUGGAUAGGGGUUCUGAGAGGAAGGUCCCCCACAUUGGAACUGAGACACGGUCCAAACUCCUACGGGAGGCAGCAGUGAGGAAUAUUGGUCAAUGGACGAGAGUCUGAACCAGCCAAGUAGCGUGAAGGAUGACUGCCCUAUGGGUUGUAAACUUCUUUUAUAUGGGAAUAAAGUAUUCCACGUGUGGAAUUUUGUAUGUACCAUAUGAAUAAGGAUCGGCUAACUCCGUGCCAGCAGCCGCGGUAAUACGGAGGAUCCGAGCGUUAUCCGGAUUUAUUGGGUUUAAAGGGAGCGUAGGUGGAUUGUUAAGUCAGUUGUGAAAGUUUGCGGCUCAACCGUAAAAUUGCAGUUGAAACUGGCAGUCUUGAGUACAGUAGAGGUGGGCGGAAUUCGUGGUGUAGCGGUGAAAUGCUUAGAUAUCACGAAGAACUCCGAUUGCGAAGGCAGCUCACUAGACUGCAACUGACACUGAUGCUCGAAAGUGUGGGUAUCAAACAGGAUUAGAUACCCUGGUAGUCCACACAGUAAACGAUGAAUACUCGCUGUUUGCGAGAUACAGUAAGCGGCCACGCGAAAGCAUUAAGUAUUCCACCUGGGGAGUACGCCGGCAACGGUGAAACUCAAAGGAAUUGACGGGGGCCCGCACAAGCAGUGGAGUAUGUGGUUUAAUUCGACGCAACGCGAAGAACCUUACCAAGUCUUGACAUCCUUCUGACCGGUACUUAACCGUACCUUCUCUUCGGAGCAGGAGUGACAGGUGGUGCAUGGUUGUCGUCAGCUCGUGUCGUGAGAUGUUGGGUUAAGUCCCGCAACGAGCGCAACCCCUGUUUCCAGUUGCCAGCACAUAAAGGUGGGGACUCUGGAGAGACUGCCGGUGAUAAAUCGGAGGAAGGUGGGGACGACGUCAAAUCAUCAUGCCCUUUAUGACUUGGGCUACACACGUACUACAAUGGCGUUAAACAAAGAGAAGCAAGACCGCGAGGUGGAGCAAAACUCAAAAACAACGUCUCAGUUCAGAUUGCAGGCUGCAACUCGCCUGCAUGAAGUCGGAAUUGCUAGUAAUCGCGGAUCAGCAUGCCGCGGUGAAUACGUUCCCGGGCCUUGUACACACCGCCCGUCACACCAUGGGAGUUGGGAAUGCCCGAAGCCAGUGACCUAACCGAAAGGAAGGAGCUGUCGAAGGCAGGCUCGAUAACUGGGGUG